GNGGNCAUGAGGANNUUGCGAAUGGAGGAAACUCUGAUGCAGCCUGCCGCGUGCAGGAUGANUGCCCUAUGGGUUGUAAACUGCUUUUUUNCAAGAAGAAACCUUGGUACGUGUACUNANUUGACGGUAUUGUAAGAAUAAGCACCGGCUAACUCCGUGCCAGCAGCCGCGGGUAAUA
rnacentral:rRNA from 1 species